AGACGGGGGAACAAAACGCGUGACGACGGUCGUAAGAAAAGUGGUGAUAAUGCGUGAACACUGCGUACAUCACAGAUAUAGAUAAUAAACUAGAUUGCUAACAGUAUAAAUCGACAAGCUAGCCGACGGACGCCGAUUUUCCGCCAUGUUGGUUAUGGGCUCUGGUAUUUUAUCAAUUUUUAUUAUUGAAGUGAUAAUAUAAUACACAUAAUUAUUAUUAUUUAUUAUGAUUCUUGAAUUCGUAAAUAUUUCCUUAGAAUUUAAAAUAAUAAUAGUAUCUUUUAUAAGUCAUCAAGAGAACUUUCAACUUAUUACCUAAGUAUCUCAAAAAGUCAAAAAUAUUUAAAGAACUAAUCUUACUGCUACAAACAAUGAAACAACAUAAAACAUAAAAGAUUUCAUAAUUGAAAAACUUAAAAUUUUGCUGUAAGAAUGUAUACGAAUAUUUAAAUAAAUACGGCUUACUACGUUAAUAAUAUUUAUCUUGUGAGGACGUGAAUGCAUUUCAGUGUCUUCAAAACAUUUAUUUGUUUCUGGAAGUAAAUUUGAACAUAAUGCAAAAGAAUUUUGAACCAUUAUCAUAAUUUUUUGAUCCAUAUUUUGUAUAAAUAAUUUAUUUUUGUUAAUAAUUAUACACUUCAAGUAUUGUUCCGUUAAUUUGACAAUUUUGAAAACACUUUCAGAUGCUAAUUGAAGACCUCCUCGGUUUUUUAUAUUUGUCAAGUUAUUAAAUGAUUUUUAUUUUUUUGACAAUAAGCAUGGUCAUUUACCUAUGUUAUUUGAUUUAUUGAUUAAUGCCUUAAUGUCAUUUGGACACUGCAAAACUGGAAUAAGUUUUUUUACUAUAUAACCAGAAAUAUAGUAUAAUACAUUAUAUUUAUUUUAUUAUUUGCAUUUACUGAAAUUAAUUACUAAUUACUACCUAUAUAUACUUGCCCCCCGGCUCCCCCAACUAAUAUUCCUAACUACGCCCAUGACAAAAUAUAUAUAUUUUAUCAUGGCUACGCCACUGCUAUCUAAUAUUGCUUAUUAUUAUAAUAAUUAUAUCUUAUUAUUUUAUACAAGCAUAUUUUUACUAAAUUUUAAUUAAUUUUAUUUGUGUAUAACUUAUUUUGCAUUAUUAUCUAUAUCUGUGGGAAUGGCCUAUCCAUUCUUUAUUAUCUAUGACUGCGUAUGCCGCCGGUUAUAGGGAAAAUGUCGGUAGGUGGCGUUGCGACGAUUCGGUGGCGCUGUGGUAGCCACAAACCAAGAUCUGUUCGCUAUAAUUAAUAAACAUAGAUAAUAUAUACCUACAUAUAAUAUAUAUUAUCUAUGGCUAUAAACCAUGGUUGUAAAGAAAACCAUAGAUAAUAAAGAAAUAAAAAAAAUAAAAAAUAAUAAAUAUUCUUUAUUAUCUAUGAAGAAAACUGUGCUAUAAAUUAAAAAAAAUAUUAUCAUUCAUCAAUCACAAUGUUAAUGAAAAAAAGAGUUGAAAAGUCAAAAUUUUCAGAAAAAUAAACUCUAAGAAAUGGCAAUCUUUGAUUUUUUUGAAAAUAAUUAAAUAAAAAUUGUAACGUUUUUACCAAAAUAUUAAACUUAUUUAAAAUAUGAAAUACUUGUGGCCCUUAUCUCUGUGAGUCUUGUGAAAAAAAAACAGAAUUAUUAUCAUUUCAUUAUAUUAAGAGAUAUCGUAACGGGUAAAUUCUUACGGUACACCCUAUCCUAACAUGGGUGUGCAAGCUUGGCUGCGUUUGGAACAUAGCAAACAUAACAAAAUGUUAUGAUUUUUAUAGCGGAAAUUCAGUACCAAUUAUAGUGGGAGGCAGAAAAAAUGGCCACGGAAAAAAAACUCAAAAAUAAAACCUACGGAAAAAAAAAUCCUAACUAUAAAACACACGCCGGAAAAAAAGCCUAAAAAAAUAUAUU